rnacentral:rRNA from 1 species
AUUGAACGCUGGCGGCAGGCCUAACACAUGCAAGUCGAGCGGAUGAAGGGAGCUUGCUCCUGGAUUCAGCGGCGGACGGGUGAGUAAUGCCUAGGAAUCUGCCUGGUAGUGGGGGAUAACGUCCGGAAACGGGCGCUAAUACCGCAUACGUCCUGAGGGAGAAAGUGGGGGAUCUUCGGACCUCACGCUAUCAGAUGAGCCUAGGUCGGAUUAGCUAGUUGGUGGGGUAAAGGCCUACCAAGGCGACGAUCCGUAACUGGUCUGAGAGGAUGAUCAGUCACACUGGAACUGAGACACGGUCCAGACUCCUACGGGAGGCAGCAGUGGGGAAUAUUGGACAAUGGGCGAAAGCCUGAUCCAGCCAUGCCGCGUGUGUGAAGAAGGUCUUCGGAUUGUAAAGCACUUUAAGUUGGGAGGAAGGGCAGUAAGUUAAUACCUUGCUGUUUUGACGUUACCAACAGAAUAAGCACCGGGUAACUUCGUG